GUCCACGCCCUAAACGAUGUCAACUGGUUGUUGGACGGCUUGCUGUUCAGUAACGAAGCUAACGCGUGAAGUUGACCGCCUGGGGAGUACGGCCGCAAGGUUGAAACUCACAGGAAUUGACGGGGACCCCGCACAAGCGGUGGAUGAUGUGGUUUAAUUCGAUGCAACGCGAAAAACCUUACCUACCCUUGACAUGUCUGGAAUUUUGCAGAGAUGUGAAAGUGCUCGAAAGAGAGCCAGAACACAGGUGCUGCAUGGCCGUCGU
rnacentral:rRNA from 1 species